GAAAUAUGAUGAUGGGGGAAGCUUGCACAUAACCUCUUGAAUCUCUCCCAAUACUCAUAUAAACUUUCUCCAUGUUGUUGCCUAAUCCAAGAAAUAUCCUUUCUGAUUGC
rnacentral:snoRNA from 1 species